rnacentral:lncRNA from 1 species
AUCUUCGCGCAUCCCCACAUCGCCGCGCCCGCUCCACUCUUCCACCCCCGGCGCCGCUGACCCCUCCCCAGCUCCCGCCUCCCGGUCUCCCUCGACCCAUCCCCACCGCUUGAAGCCCUCCCGUCGUGCCUCACGGUCUCCAUCACGCCGGCUCGCCCUCGACAGAUCCCCGGAAGCCCUCCCGUCGCCAGUUCGUCGCACACACCUACCUUGCCGAUCUGCUCCUCGCCGCCACUGUCGGCGCCCGCAUCCACGACGCCGCCGUCAUCGCUUGAGUGAAGACCAUGGAUGCAGCAUGCAUGCAGAGUUGCAGACUGAAGACAGGCCAUCAUUCUUCAGUCUACCACGAGAUAGCAGCACAAAUGCUUGAUUCACUUGUGAGAAUCACUUCUUUCAACU